CUGUUGUUUCGGGACUGCGCCUUCCCCGCCCUGGCGCGUUCCCGAGGCUGCAGCCUCGCCACCCUGGGUCUUAGCCGCAGCCUCUGAGCUUUGGCUUCCUCAGCGAGCUCGCCCCUGGCCCAGGUUUACAAAGAGGGUCAGGUUUGGGAAUGUGGGCGACACCUCGUCUGACAACAGUAUGAGGUACCACAUCCCCCGAGUUCCCGGCCGAGCGGGAAGGACAGAGCCCACACCCGGCUGAAGCAUCAAGUCUUGAGUUCUAGGCCAGCACCUGCCGUAAGAACCAGCCAAUGGCAGAUGAGAGUGAUUACAGGUCAAAGCCCUUUCCAUUCGACUCUGAUGGCUUCACUUCAGCUCCUGGAACUUUCACCCACUCCAUCCGUGUACAUGGCAAAGGUGAGAGAAUACUUUUCAGGACUUCCUCAUCAAAUCCAGGCUUUGCCACACACAUCUUUGCCUGCUGAGCCCUCUCGUCGGCCCCGAAGCUGG
rnacentral:sRNA from 1 species